AAUCAACGCUGGCGGCGUGCCUAACACAUGCAAGUCGAACGCGAAAGCCCUUUCGGGGGUAAGUAGAGUAGCGUCCGGGUGAGUAACACGUAGGUAAUCUACCUUUGGGUGGGGAAUAACCCCGAGAAAUCGGGGCUAAUACCGCAUAAUGCAGCGGCACCACAUGGUGACAGUUGUUAAAGCGGGGGAUCGCAAGACCUCGCGCCUAAAGAGGAGCCUGCGGCGGAUUAGCUAGUUGGUAGGGUAACGGCCUACCAAGGCAACGAUCCGUAGCCGGCCUGAGAGGGCGGUCGGCCACACUGACACUGAAAUACGGGUCAGACUCCUACGGGAGGCAGCAGUCGGGAAUUUUGGGCAAUGGGCGAAAGCCUGACCCAGCAACGCCGCGUGAAGGAUGAAAUCCCUCGGAUGUAAACUUCGCAAGAACAGGAAGAAUAAGUAGGGGACAAUACCCCUACUGAUGACGGUACUGUUUGUAAGCUCCGGCUAACUCCGUGCCAGCAGCCGCU
rnacentral:rRNA from 1 species